CGCAUGGGGAGUACGCCCGCAAGGCUAGAACUCAAAGGAAUCGAACGGGGACCCGCACAAGCACUGGAGCGCCUGGUAUAAUUCCGAUGGUCAGCGAAGAACUUCACCUGGGCGUGAACCGUAGCUGCACACCAUGGGAAACCAGGGGAGCCAUUGAGGGUGCUCCAGAGGUGACGCACGGCAGUCGUCAGCUCGUGUCGUGAGAUGCAGGGUUAAGUCCCGUAACGAGCGCAACUCUGAUCUGACGCUCAUAAUUUCUUACAGAGUCUGCCCCGUUUCAGCUGGGAGGAAGGAGGGGAUGACGUCCAGUCAGCAUGUCCUUUAUGUUUCAGGGCUACCAUCAGACUCUACAACUGGCGUAUUACACAUGGCCUCCCAAACCCGCGAGAUGGACCGAAUCCCCUCAAAGAUAGUCUCAGUUCGGAUUGCAGACCUGAUAAUUCGCCUGCAAGAACUCGGAAUUGAUAGUAAGUCGUGUAUCAGCAUGGCCCGGCGAAUACGUUCUCGGCUCCAUGUACACACCACCCGUCA
rnacentral:rRNA from 1 species